rnacentral:lncRNA from 1 species
CAGGCAUUAAAUCAAGUGCUAAUUCACUCCCCAAACAAGCCCUUAUCAAAUCGUAAUCAUGCUCUUAAUCCUCAAAUUGGUGUCCAUUCAUACUCCUCCCUUCCUCCCAGAUCAUCUCAACUCAAUAUAUUCCAAAAAUCAUACCAGAGUUUGGUAUUAUACAAAUUUCUAGCACCGUAGUCCUUUACAUCAUUCCAAAUUGUAAAAUUCUUGACUUUAUUUGUUUCGUUGAUUAGGGAUUUAUCACAUCUAUAAAACCCUAAUCGAUGAUGAAGGUACAAAAAUCCUCUCUCAAAAAUCCUAUUUUUCUGAGGUAAUACGAAGUGGGUUCCAAGUUUCCGACAGGUUAUGGGAUCACAUAGAAUCAGUUCAAAUUUGUUUUCAAACAACAAUAAAAAAAUGGCCCAAAAUACAAAUUCGGCUACUCAUAAAUCUAUUCACUCCUCUGGGCUUUGUAUGGGUACACCAAAAUACUGAAGCUACUCCUUGUCCAGGGGUUCUAUCAAGACCCAGCAAGUUGGUACAUCAUCUAAGUCUCUAGAGAUCAUUGAGCCAAAAGAAGAAAAAUUUGAGACUCCUUAUCACCGCAUUACCCGGUGGUCCAGAUCUAUUGGUGUUCUGUCAGAUAAAAUUUAUCCUCUUCAUUUGGAAAUUGGAUGACUGGAAAUCCCUCUGCUACAGUUGCCGACGGUUCCCACUUCACUGAAUCCCUGCCACAGUUACAAAAAUUCAAAGUUUCUGGUGUAGUCAGCAUACCAACUGGAGUUUGCCUCUUCCCUUUUCCUCUUCUCCUUUUGGUUGGUCCAGUGCACGCACAAUGGAGUUUUUGGGGCAAAGAGGAAAUUUUAGUGCAGGCCGGUGCCUGCACGGGCCUCUGUGUAGCUCCACCUUUGCUUGUUUUGACAAACCAUUGAAGGGGAAAAUUCAAGUUUCCGUAUAAAGCCAUAAAAGAAGUGAUGGGGUCUAUGACUAAAAAUAAAGUUUGGGAUCCGUUGAAUUGUUAAAUGAACAUAAAGCUGGGCCCAUAAGGCCAGAAAAUGCACCUGGUCCUGUAGAAUGAUAUAUGGCCAGACUUGUAGCCAAGGAUUUCACUCAAAAGAAGGCAUCGGUUAUUAUGAAAUAUUUUCUUCAAUUUCUAAUAAAGAUUUGCUUAGAAUUAUAAUGGCUUUAGAUGCUCAUUUUGAAUUGGAGCUAUAUGGAAUGGAUGUUUUCAACAUGGAGAUCUUGUAGAAGAAGUAUACAUGAAACAGCCUGAAGAAUUUACCAUUGAUAAAGUAAUCACAUAGUAUGCAAAUCAAAAAAAUUUAUAUGUGGGCUAAAAUAAGCUUCCCG